GACGAACGCUGGCGGCGUGCUUAACACAUGCAAGUCGAACGGAAAGGCCCUGCUUUUGUGGGGUGCUCGAGUGGCGAACGGGUGAGUAACACGUGAGUAACCUGCCCUUGACUUUGGGAUAACUUCAGGAAACUGGGGCUAAUACCGGAUAGGAGCUCCUGCUGCAUGGUGGGGGUUGGAAAGUUUCGGCGGUUGGGGAUGGACUCGCGGCUUAUCAGCUUGUUGGUGGGGUAGUGGCUUACCAAGGCUUUGACGGGUAGCCGGCCUGAGAGGGUGACCGGCCACAUUGGGACUGAGAUACGGCCCAGACUCCUACGGGGGGCAGCAGUGGGGAAUAUGGCACAAUGGGCGGAAGCCUGAUGCAGCAACGCCGCGUGCGGGAUGACGGCCUUCGGGUUGUAAACCGCUUUCGCCUGUGACGAAGCGUGAGUGACGGUAAUGGGUAAAGAAGCACCGGCUAACUACGUG
rnacentral:rRNA from 1 species